GGAGUGCCACGUGGCAGCUUGAGAGCGUUUGUAGGAAGUUUAAUGAUUUUUAGUAUAUAACUAGGAUGAUAGCCCACGCGAAUGCGCGGGCAUACGUAUUAGUUUGUUCUGAAAAUAGUUCUAACAAAAUAAAGUGAAAUUAAGGUAAGGUGUUUUCUAUUUUUAACAGGGUGUUCAUUGUAUCUCUUUUUGAAGAAAUCUCGAUAAACUUUUGCUGGCAAUAAAUGUUUUUUACCACCUUGUCAAUCCUCUUUUUAAUUGAUUCAUAUAUAUGUGUAAUUCGUUAUGCAUGUGAAUCAAUAAUGAUAAGUUCUUUUAAAACUAUUAGUUAUAUUUUGAAUGUAGUGGUUGAGUGAUUAUAAUUUCGAAUUUGUUUUCAAAUCAAAUUAUUGUGUUAUUCUAAAUUUUCAUUUUAAGGAUUUUAAUUUGUACUUAAUCUCGUAUCGUGUUGUAUUUGGACUCAUCUUUUAAUAUUUAUUUUAUUAUUAUUCCAAAUUUUAGAUAUUUAUAACUUAUACUUUUAUAUGGACUGUUUUAUAUUAUACAUGGGAUCUUGUUAUACAUUUUUUAAUAGUUUUAAUGGUUUUUUUUAAAAAAAAAUUGAAUGUGUAUUUUAAUCAAAUUGAUUAUUUUUUCUGAAUUUAAUUCUGAACUCCUCGGCGAUAGAAACGUCUCUCUCUGGCCCUCCUCUCAGUCCUUUGUCCUUCACCUAAUCAUCUAGCAUGCUAUUAGGCUUAGAAGUCAUGGAAAGUCUAUGCUGGCGCUUCCGUCGGUGUCCACCUCGCUAAGGUUGUGUUCUUCCCCCCUCCUUUCCCAACUUAACUCUCUCGUUUUCGGUGCACAUGUUUUCCAAACUAAUAAAUGGUGUUUUUUCUAAAAGUUUUCUAUAGAAAAAUUGCUUUAGAAACAUAUUAAUCCAUUUUAUAAAAAAUUUAACUAAUACUUAAUUAAUAAUAAUCUAAUGUAAUGAGUCGCUUUGUUUUACGUGCGUGGGAGAGAUUAGCUCCAAAACCUAUCUAAUGAACACAACCUAAUAAUAUCUUGCAGCUCCGCCUCCGUUGAGUUCAGGCCCAGGGUAUCCACCAUGGUUCCAAGCUCUUUGAUGGUGGUUGAAUCUAGACUUUAGACUCACAUAUUUGAAUUCAUUUGUCUUUUCACAGUGCAAAUUUUGCUCAAAUAUUUGUAGUCAUAAUGGCUACAUUAUCUAAAUUUUAUAUAGUAAAUAUGGGUAAAUGGAUCUUGAAUUAUGUAUUUAAUUAUAAAUAACAUGACAAAAUGCAAAUAAAUUGAGAAAAGUGCAUGUAACUUGAGAGUCAUGAUCAUUUAACUAUCUGAUUAUUAUUAUUUAUAUAUUAUAUGUUAGCUAGAAAAUAGGAAAUGUUGGCUCGAAAAUAGGAGAGGAGACUGGGAUCCCGGAGGAGAGAGUUGGAGGGUUGAGAGACUACGUACGUACAUGUGUGCCCACACACGGCGGGGUUGGGGGUACCAUAUUUUCGUGUAUUGGGGGUACCAUAUUUUUUUUUGAGAGAUCUAACGGUUAAAAUUAGUGGGUCCGCCUAUUUAAAGAAAUAUCAAUGGUUAGUCUUUUUCUUUUUUAUCAAAACUUUUAGGAUUUUUUUUCUAAUUUAUUAGAUCGUCAAAAGGCAUCUUAAGAACAUUUGUAAAAUGCGACGUGACAGUUUGAGAGCAUUUGUAGGGAGUUCAAUGAACUUUUAACUUUUAGUAUAUAAUAGAUGUUUAAUGGAUUUUCAGUAUAUAAUAUAUAGAUAGAUGUGUAAAGAAUAUAAUGCAGUAAACUUUCUUCAAACAUUAUAUACGUUUAUGAUGAUGCAGUCUAGGUUUGCAAAGUUAUAAUUGUUUGUUUUUAAUAAUGAAUGUUAUUUCAAUUAUCCUUAGAAAUUAUAAAAGGAAAGGAGAGAAAUAUGGACGUGAUAAGGGUGAGCGGUUUCGCACGUGCGUACGUACUUACUUCAUAUGUACGGACUUAUGGGAGAGCUGGGGCCGUUGUACAUUAAUACAAGGGUUUAUAAUAUCGGACCCACUAAUUUAAGUGAAUAUUUUAAGGGUUAGAUAUUUUGCUUUUGUAGAAUUUCCAUUAUUUAUUUAUCAGAGCGCCACGUGGUAGCUUAGGAGUAUUUGUAGGGGUGGCAUGUAGCGACUUAGGACCGAUUUAAGUGAAUAUCGAUGGACAAAUAUUUUUGUUACAAAAUAAUCUAAAAUAAUGGGUACAUAAUAUAAUAUAAUGGUGUAAACUUUAUUUUCAAAUAUUGUAGAGCUAAUUUAUUUAUGUUCACUUGUAGAGAUUUGUAUGCUGGUAUAUUCUAUAUUUGUAAAGUGACUUUUAUUCAAAAUUUAUUAUCACUUAUUAUUAUUAUUAUUAGUAUUAUUAUUAUUAUUAGUACUACUACUAUUAUUAUUAUUAUCUCAAUUAUAUACCGGAAAAAAAGAGAAAGAAUAGUAACGUACCUUGGAAAAAAAAGGUUAUGUACGUGCAUGCACCCCCUUUAACAGAUCGCAUGCAAGCAGUAACGUACCUAUAUAUGGAAUGGAACUGAGGAGUUAUUUUGAGAUAAAUCUAAUCUAACGGUUUAUAAUAUUGGACCCACCGAUUUAAGUGAAAAUCGAGGGAUAGAUAUUUUUCUUUUUUCUCAGAUUUUCUAGAAUUUUCUCUAAUUUAUUAGAGCGCCACGUGGCGGUUUGAGAGCGUUUUGAGGAAGCUUCAUGGAAUUUUAGUAUAUAAUAGAUAGAUAGAUAGAUAGAUAGAUAGAUAGAAGAUAGAUAGAUAGAUAGAUAGAUAGAUAGAUAGAUAGAUAGAUAGAUAGUUCUCCGUUCAAUAAACAAUUGCAUCCUUUGUUCCUCGGCUCAGCUCUCAAAUUCCUACCAACAAGGAGGGUUGUGUAUCCCUCCCGGGCCGCCUGAAAACGUACGUAAAUCCAAAAUCAGAUUUAAUCAAAUCGUGCAAGCAAAAGAAAACUAUAGCUACUGAUAUGUAUUCUCCUCAGAGUUGCCUCUCUUUAGCUCUGGUAAUGACACUUGUAAUGCAAACAAUUGAUCAGCUAGCUACAAAUCAUAAUCCCACAUGCCAUCACCUGGGGGGACAGACACUAAUGCAUGAUCGCUCGGGCAUGCCCCCCCCCCCCCCCCUUUUGCCUGUCCGUACAUACUAAAUAUAUACACAAAGAUAUAGGUAUAAAGUUUGUAUAUGUACGUAUACAAAUUUUAAUUAAGGACAGUUAACAAAGAACAUGUUGUUCAUUAAAAUUGGUUUACUCCAGACAGCAUAGAUCAUGAGUCCUCUUGGCUCAUGAGAAAUGAAACCUCUGUAAGGGGGUUGGUCUCCAUGCGUAUAAAGUAUAUUUUGCAACCAUAUAUCAAUUUGGUCCUCAGUUAAACAUCGUGUACCGUAUAUGCAUAGUUUCAACCAUGUCAUCUAUGUACCAUGAUCUAAGGCAGCAUAAAGUAUAUUUGCAACCAUGAUUUAAUUUUUUUUAACCAUGGUAUUUACCAUCAAACCUUUAGCUGUAAACUAUACUGAUAUUUUCAUCCAUGUCAUCUGCACAUGAUGUUGCCUGUAACAGAUCAUACGGAAUGGGCAUUGACUAAUACAUAUAUACUUCAAUUUUUUCAGAUCAGACAAAGAAGUAACUCCAACAAGAAUUUACUGAGAAUGAGGAGAUGGAUGUCCAUGGAUAACUACUUUUGGAAGAUGUUGAAACUAUAUAUUGGAUUAUGUUAUUUUGCUAUGUGAUGGACUGCACAAACUACAUGUUGGAUGAUUUUAUUUUCCUAUGUUGAGACAAUUUGGACUGGUGAUGUAUUGUUAAGCCUAUUUGAAACCUUUGUAAUGGACUGUGAAACUAUUUGGACUAUUAAAGCUAUGUGAUGACUUGUAAUGGAUUUAUUGAUGUAUGCAGUUGUAAUGGACUGAUUGCUUGCAAGAUUACUUUUAUAUUUUGAAAAUCAUGAAUUAUCUUGCUGCAAAACUGGGCUCUGCGCGGCCCAAGUUUUUUGUCCCCCAAAUUUCGGAAUCUUCGGACGAAAUUUCAAAUUUGAAUUAAAAAUUUCGUACGAAAAAUCAUGAAAUUUCGGUGAUUUUGGUUAUUUCGACACCCCCCCCCCCCCCCCCACACACACACACAGAACAAAAAGCACCAUUUCAAAACUGCAAACCCCUGAUACAAGGAAAGCUCCGUUCUGGCGUGUCGUCGCCGGACCGCCGUCGCUGGGCCACGGAAUUCGACAGCUCCGACGACGGCGGCGACAUGGCGCAGGGCGGACGGCAUUGGGAGCGACUGGGUCGGUCGUCCCUCCGCUCGUAUGCGGCGCGGGCAACCACGGGUAACCCUUCUUUAGAGCUUAUAUUAUAUUAUUAUUCCUUUUCAGCGACUAAGUCAUGCAUCUAGAGUUGAUGUAAAUUUCAUUGGAUUGGUCGAACAAAUCCAGGAAAUGUCAUUGCUGACGAAAUCUUUAAAAAUCUUAAUUUUGUACAUUUGACUUGACUGCGUCCUGGUCUUCUCUAAGCCUGGAGCACAAAAAUUGUACCUACAAAAAACGACGGGGAGAUUGGAACCCUUGUUUUCGCCUUCAAGUUUUAACAUGUAAACAUCGACCUCUCUCAAGUCGUCGAGCACCUUGUCUCAAGCUCUUUGCACAUGGCCAGAGGAUUGUCUCAUUAGCUGACAUUGCAAUGCAACUAAUCUGGCCGCUUCCUUUGAUUCUUGCUAAAUUACUUCUUCUUUGUUCUUGUAAACGACGCUUCCCAAUUCUCGUAAUCUGUGUGCACAAGUUCAGCAAUGCCGCUGUGUCUUGCGUCUUCCUCUGUCUGUCUCACGUUGCUGCUCCAGAGGCGAAUGCAGGGUAGUGUGCAUCCCUACUUCAAUUCGAUGAAAGGCAGUAUUAGCAGUAUCCCGGGUGCACUCUGUCAACAAGUUCAGAGAAAGUGUCAACAUAAUCAGAAUGCCAUAAUACACUAAUACUUUCAUCUUUAAAAAGACAGAUUACAUAAUAUUCCGUCUAUGUUGAUUGUAGCAAUGAUUUAGUUAUUAUACCGUACAUUUAUCCAUCCAGGGUCCCGCCUCAUCUCAUAUAUUUUUUAUUUUUUCUUUUGGAAGAGAAAUCUCAUAUAAAAAUUUCAGGCCAUGCUAGCAUUUACCAAUUCUGAAAAUAGGCACACACUGUGACACAUGAGACUUUAUUUACAGGGACAUUUAACUCGCUGUCUAUGACAUGUGGGCCCUCAUGUGUCUAUGACAUAUGGGUCUAGUAGCAAAUAAUUUAGCACCACUCGUAAGAGUGGCAAAUAGUUAAUUAUUCCUUAUUUACACAAAGGGUGUGCACAAGGUACAUUGGCUAUUUGGCAAAUCUAUCUUGCUAGCAAUACUGUGGUACAAGCAAAUAUGUGUGUCCGGUGCUUAUUAGGGUUCAAGAAUGAAAAAAAAGAGGGGUACAGUGUCAUGCUUGCUCACUUUGUGCUGGGUGAACAGCACACAGUGACUAGACGCAGACAAGUAGAAAUGUAAACAGUGGAAGAAGAAAAAAAGGAAAAACUAAAAACAGGACACAGUACGGUAGCACAUGAUCUACACGACCUCAUUUUACAGGUACAUGCUGAUUGAUCAAAAUACAAUUAACCCAGAAAAAAUGAUACGCACACAAACUCAUAUUCUUUUUUUUUUGUUCUGUUUUUAUAAAGCACGAAUUGGGCUCGCCAUCGACAGCACUACUUAUAUAUGCUCGGCGAAAAUAUCGAUAGGACUCUGAUUUCUAUCUGUGAUAUAUAGGUAGCGAUCGAUCUCGUGAUCUCUUCUCACCGGAUAUAUUUAAUUUCGACCUCCAAUUUGAUCGAGAUGUUACCACACACAGGGCGUCUGACAAAUGCCAAACAGCCAGAAAGCCCUAUCAAGUAUUUUGCCUAUCCCUGCACAAUUGAACAACAAACCAGGGUUAAUUAGACUGCCACAGGAGAGAUGACCUAUAUAUCGACAAAACCGAGAACAAGGUAAUUUAAACUGCAAAUCAUCUAAAGAAGAAAUUAAGGUACAAAGGGAGGAGAUGGAAUGUGCAUUUGCUCAAGUCACUAGUAUGAUCCUAGCUGCUGUACCAGCAUGUUGAAUGGGGUGUUGUCACUUUCGUUUGAUUGGUUGAGCUCUGUUCCAGUUUUCUCAUUCGAGUAACUUUGUUUGGUACAAAUACUAGUUAUCGUCAAAUUUAUAUAUGUUUGAGUGGGUAGGGCUGUCAUUGUGCUCCCAAGUCCCAACAAACCGUGUUCGACUCUCGACACACUCUUUUUGCUUCUUAGGGCUGUUCGGCUGGACUAGCUCCAAGAUAGCAGGGGCUGUAGCAGCUGCAGCUGCAGUCCCAGCUUACCGAAUAUGCCCUUAAUAUAUCGAUAUUAUAUUAAAGGUUUUGUUUUAAUAUAAUGGCGCUGUUUUAUCAUCAAAAGGACUGCCCUUUUUAUUGAUGUGUGGCGGAUUUUAGUGCAGAAAAUUUGCAUAUUUAUUAAAAGAAUGUUUGCAUAUGGAGGCUCCAGGGCCAGUAGGAAACCAGAGAGAGAGAGAUUGAUGGCUCAAUUCUUCUUGAAACAUCUCCCACUCCAGCUCCAGUUUCUUAUUUUUCUUUUCAAUGGAAGAUUAUGGAGCCCAUUGUCUCUGUCUCUGUAAUGUGUUCUUUGGGCCAAGCCAGAUUGUAUCCCUUGUCUGAAAAAGGUCAUAAACUUGAGUACUUGACCCAUGCAAAGCUCUAGAUUUUGCAGUGCUUUGCUUCUAUUCGCAGUAAGGUUUUGCCACUGAAAAUUUCCGUGCUCAGAUAGUCGGAUGCCAAGUGCGGCCAUUAUGGAGCCCAUAAAAAGGAGUUCCAGUAUAUCAUUACCAUAGCAUCUCCACUCUGGCAAGACAGUUCAUGUGUGCAAUUCCUCCCAUUCUCCAAUUUUCAUAGACCACUCUUGAAAUUUAUGCAGUUCCGUGGGCACAUCUGUUUCAGAGCCAUUAGAGCAGAAUUGGCACAAGGUAAUCAAUCAAUAGGUCCCUUUCGUUUGGUUUCUGUGAAAUAUUCUUCCAGUGAUCGAUCACAUCUCAUGAUGAAGUUCUUAAACUUUCAUUCUGUCAGUCCCUAUAUAUACAUACAUCAUGAUGAUGGUUAAACUUCAAUUUGGAGUAAUAAUACUUAUGUUACGUUACCUCAAUAGGCUUUUUUUCAUCGGAGUGGAGGAAGAAUGCGUAGAACCCUCCAAGCACAGUUGCUGCGGCCAUGGCCCAAACCAGCACCUGAACCGGGAAAGGCAUGAUGGCCGCCACUUUAUAUGAAAACACGGCGGUGAGCAUCGUCGUCAGGAGCC
rnacentral:lncRNA from 1 species